AAAGCAGAGAUCGUGUGUAUCGAAUUUGUGUGAUUACAGUCAAAAUGCACUCUGCUCGAAAGAGUUCUCUGCGAUAUUAAAGGAAAGAUGGGCAGUUGUAUUUCAAAUUUCCAUUGAAGUUGUUUAGCAAUCAUCUUCCUUACAUGU